GCACCGGAACGUACCCAGUAAUGGGGGAUAACACAUCGAAAGAUGUGCUAAUACCGCAUACGCCCUGAGGGGGAAAGCGGGGGAUCGUAAGACCUCGCGUUAUUGGAGCGGCCGAUGCCGGAUUAGCUAGUUGGUGAGGUAAGAGCUCACCAAGGCGACGAUCCGUAGCUGGUCUGAGAGGACGACCAGCCACACUGGGACUGAGACACGGCCCAGACUCCUACGGGAGGCAGCAGUGGGGAAUUUUGGACAAUGGGCGCAAGCCUGAUCCAGCCA
rnacentral:rRNA from 1 species